GGUUAAGCGACUAAGCGUACACGGUGGAUGCCCGCAGUCAGAGGCGAUGAAGGACGUGCUAAUCUGCGAAAAGCGUCGGUAAGGUGAUAUGAACCGUUAUAACCGGCGAUGUCCGAAUGGGGAAACCCAGUGUGAUUCGUCACACUAUCGUUAACUGAAUACAUAGGUUAACGAGGCGAACCGGGGAACUGAAACAUCUAAGUACCCCGAGGAAAAGAAAUCAACCGAGAUUCCCCCAGUAGCGGCGAGCGAACGGGGAGCAGCCCAGAGUCUGAAUCAGCUUGUGUGUUAGUGGAACGGUCUGGAAAGUCCGACGGUACAGGGUGAUAGUCCCGUACACCAAAAUGCACAGGUUGUGAACUCGAAGAGUAGGGCGGGACACGUGGUAUCCUGUCUGAAUAUGGGGGACCAUCCUCCAAGGCUAAAUACUCCUGACUGACCGAUAGUGAACCAGUACCGUGAGGGAAAGGCGAAAAGAACCCCGGCGAGGGGUGAAAAAGAACCUGAAACCGUGUACGUACAAGCAGUGGGAGCACCUUCGGGUGUGACUGCGUACCUUUUGUAUAAUGGGUCAGCGACUUAUAUUCUGUAGCAAGGUUAACCGUAUAGGGGAGCCGCAGGGAAACCGAGUCUUAACUGGGCGUUAAGUUGCAGGGUAUAGACCCGAAACCCGGUGAUCUAGCCAUGGGCAGGUUGAAGGUUGGGUAACACUAACUGGAGGACCGAACCGACUAAUGUUGAAAAAUUAGCGGAUGACUUGUGGCUGGGGUGAAAGGCCAAUCAAACCGGGAGAUAGCUGGUUCUCCCCGAAAGCUAUUUAGGUAGCGCCUCGUGAACUCAUCUUCGGGGGUAGAGCACUGUUUCGGCUAGGGGUCAUCCCGACUUACCAACCCGAUGCAAACUACGAAUACCGAAGAAUGUUAUCACGGGAGACACACGGCGGGUGCUAACGUCCGUCGUGAAGAGGGAAACAACCCAGACCGCCAGCUAAGGUCCCAAAGUCAUGGUUAAGUGGGAAACGAUGUGGGAAGGCACAGACAGCCAGGAUGUUGGCUUAGAAGCAGCCAUCAUUUAAAGAAAGCGUAAUAGCUCACUGGUCGAGUCGGCCUGCGCGGAAGAUGUAACGGGGCUAAACCAUGCACCGAAGCUGCGGCAGCGACACUAUGUGUUGUUGGGUAGGGGAGCGUUCUGUAAGCCUGCGAAGGUGACCUGUGAGGGUUGCUGGAGGUAUCAGAAGUGCGAAUGCUGACAUAAGUAACGAUAAAGCGGGUGAAAAGCCCGCUCGCCGGAAGACCAAGGGUUCCUGUCCAACGUUAAUCGGGGCAGGGUGAGUCGACCCUAAGGCGAGGCCGAAAGGCGUAGUCGAUGGGAAACAGGUUAAUAUUCCUGUACUUGGUGUUACUGCGAAGGGGGACGGAGAAGGCUAUGUUAGCCGGGCGACGGUUGUCCCGGUUUAAGCAUGUAGGCUGAUUGUCCAGGCAAAUCCGGAUAAUCAAGGCUGAGGUGUGAUGACGAGGCACUACGGUGCUGAAGUAACAAAUGCCCUGCUUCCAGGAAAAGCCUCUAAGCAUCAGGUAACAUCAAAUCGUACCCCAAACCGACACAGGUGGUCAGGUAGAGAAUACCAAGGCGCUUGAGAGAACUCGGGUGAAGGAACUAGGCAAAAUGGUGCCGUAACUUCGGGAGAAGGCACGCUGGUGUGUAGGUGAAGUCCCUGCGGAUGGAGCUGAGACCAGUCGAAGAUACCAGCUGGCUGCAACUGUUUAUUAAAAACACAGCACUGUGCAAACACGAAAGUGGACGUAUACGGUGUGACGCCUGCCCGGUGCCGGAAGGUUAAUUGAUGGGGUUAUCCGUAAGGAGAAGCUCUUGAUCGAAGCCCCGGUAAACGGCGGCCGUAACUAUAACGGUCCUAAGGUAGCGAAAUUCCUUGUCGGGUAAGUUCCGACCUGCACGAAUGGCGUAAUGAUGGCCAGGCUGUCUCCACCCGAGACUCAGUGAAAUUGAACUCGCUGUGAAGAUGCAGUGUACCCGCGGCAAGACGGAAAGACCCCGUGAACCUUUACUAUAGCUUGACACUGAACAUUGAGCCUUGAUGUGUAGGAUAGGUGGGAGGCUUUGAAGCGUGGACGCCAGUCUGCGUGGAGCCAACCUUGAAAUACCACCCUUUAAUGUUUGAUGUUCUAACGUUGGCCCCUUACCGGGGUUGCGGACAGUGUCUGGUGGGUAGUUUGACUGGGGCGGUCUCCUCCCAAAGCGUAACGGAGGAGCACGAAGGUUAGCUAAUCCUGGUCGGACAUCAGGAGGUUAGUGCAAUGGCAUAAGCUAGCUUGACUGCGAGCGUGACGGCGCGAGCAGGUGCGAAAGCAGGUCAUAGUGAUCCGGUGGUUCUGAAUGGAAGGGCCAUCGCUCAACGGAUAAAAGGUACUCCGGGGAUAACAGGCUGAUACCGCCCAAGAGUUCAUAUCGACGGCGGUGUUUGGCACCUCGAUGUCGGCUCAUCACAUCCUGGGGCUGAAGUAGGUCCCAAGGGUAUGGCUGUUCGCCAUUUAAAGUGGUACGCGAGCUGGGUUUAGAACGUCGUGAGACAGUUCGGUCCCUAUCUGCCGUGGGCGCUGGAGAAUUGAGGGGGCUGCUCCUAGUACGAGAGGACCGGAGUGGACGCAUCACUGGUGUUCGGGUUGUCAUGCCAAUGGCACUGCCCGGUAGCUAAAUGCGGAAGAGAUAAGUGCUGAAAGCAUCUAAGCACGAAACUUGCCCCGAGAUGAGUUCUCCCUGAGACUUUAAGUCUCCUGAAGGAACGUUGAAGACGACGACGUUGAUAGGCCGGGUGUGUAAGCGCAGCGAUGCGUUGAGCUAACCGGUACUAAUGAACCGUGAGGCUUAACCUU
rnacentral:rRNA from 1 species